rnacentral:rRNA from 1 species
GACAGAGGGGGCAAGCGUUGCUCGGAAUUACUGGGCGUAAAGGGCGCGUAGGCGGGAUGGCAAGUCGGUCGUGAAAUCCCUCGGCUCAACCGAGGAACGUCGAUCGAUACUGCUGUUCUUGAGGAUUGCAGAGGAGACUGGAAUUCCCGGUGUAGCGGUGAAAUGCGUAGAGAUGUGGAGGAACACCAGUGGCGAAGGCGACUCUUUGGCCUGUAACUGACGCUGAGGCGCGAAAAGCGUGGGGGAGCAAACAGG